rnacentral:rRNA from 1 species
CGGAGGAAAAGAAACUAACAAGGAUUCCCCUAGUAGCGGCGAGCGAAGCGGGAAGAGCCCAAAAUGAAAAGCCUGCUUGCAGGCGUUGUAUUUGGGCGCUCUUGGGGUGUCAGUGCGGGCAAGUUGUAUGGAAAUACAUGCCGUGGAGGGUGAAAGUCCCGUCCAACCUGCACAGGACAGUCUUGUCAAGAGCGUCUCUGACGAGUCGGGUAGCUUGGGAAUGCUGCUCUAAUUGGUGGUAAAUCUCAUCAAAGGCUAAAUAAUGACCGGAAACCGAUAGCGAACAAGUACCGUGAGGGAAAGAUGACAAGCACUUUGAAAAGAGGGUGAAAAGAACCUGAAACCGUCAUGGGGGAAGCGGAUUGCGUUAAGGAAAAGGGAAUGUUGCGUGUUCAGCCGGUAACACGGUGCAUUGGCGCAGCGGACCGAUCUGUCGUGAGUUUUGGACGGUUGAUGUUGAACCGUGCAGGGCUGAGGGCUCCCUUUGUAAAGGUUGAGGACGAUGGAUAUUGACGCGAACCGACCCGUCUUGAAACACGGACCAAGGAGUCUAGCGCGACUGCGAGUCAGAGGGUGCAAGCCUGAGGGCGUAGUGAAAGCGAUUGUGAAAACAACAGUUUGGGGCGGCAUGAGAUUGUCAAUUUCAAGUCCGACCUUGAGCAGUUGCGCUGGGACCCGAAAGAUGGUGAACUAUGCCGGAGUAGGGCAAAGCCAGAGGAAACUCUGGUGGAGGCUCGUAGCGGUGCUGACGUGCAAAUCGCUCGUCCGACUUUGGUAUAGGGGCGAAAGACUAAUCGAACCAUCUAGUAGCUGGUUCCCUCCGAAGUUUCUCUCAGGAUAGCGGGCCGACGGGUGUUGUUUUGUGUGGUAAAGCGAAUGAUUAGCGCACUCGGGGGCAGACUGCCUUUGGGCGAUUCUCAAACUUUCAAUACGCAAGGGUGCCGCUGCUUGGUUGAGCGGCACCGGCAAAAACGUCGGCCCUGUGGGCCACUUUUGGUAAGCAGAACUGGCGAUACGGGAUGAACCGUAAGCGUGGUUAAGGCGCCCAAGUGCCCGCUUAUAGACCCCACAAAAGGUGUUGAUUCAUCGAGACAGCAGGACGGUGGCCAUGGAAGUCGGAAUCCGCCAAGGAGUGUGUAACAACUCACCUGCCGAAUGAAUUAGCCCUGAAAAUGGAUGGCGCUCAAGCGGGCGGCCGACACCACGCCGUCUGGACAAGAAAUGAUUCAGAUGAGUAGGAGGGCGUGGCGGUUGUUUCGAAGCGCCUGUGCAAACGGGUGUGGAACGGCUGCUAGUGCAGAUCUUGGUGGUAGUAGCAAGUAUUCAAGCGAGAUCCUUGAAGGGCGAAGCGGGGAAGGGUUCCACGCGAACAUUGAUUGGGCGUGGGUGAGUCGUUCCUAAGCCGAGUGGCAAUUGCUAAGUAGCGGCGAAAGGGAAGCGGGUUGAAAUUCCCGCACACGGAUGUGGAGGCGGUGACGCACGUUGGGACAAACACGUUGGCGAUGGCGCUGGGCAGAGUUGUCUUUUCUGUUUGACCUGUGGUGCGCUGUGUGGAAUCCGAUUGUCGGGAGAAACACGCGUGUUUGGGCAGAGCGCCGGGGUUUUUCCGGCGUCCAGCUCGCCAUCGACGACCCUUGAAACUUUGUCUGCUGAAUAAAUCCACGCCGUGGCGUACCGAUUACCGCAUCAGGUCCCCAAGGUGAACAGCCUCUGCUCAAUAUGAACAAUGCAGGUAAGGGAAGUCGGCAAAUUAGACCCCUAACUUUGGGAUAAGGGUUGGCUCUAGUGCUGCGUGGGAGUGGUUGCCGGGUGUUGGGGCGGUGGGUGAGGCGGACUGGCGCGGGAUUUGCCCAAUGUUUGUUUGGGUGAGACUUGUUCCGGCUGCUUUGCCCGCUGUUUCACGGCUGGCGACGCCCACAGCAUGCAGCAGACUAGAACUGCAACGGGCAAAGGGAAUCCGACUGUUUAAUUAAAACAAAGCAUUGCGAGGGCCGUGGCCGGUGAUGACGCAAUGUGAUUUCUGCUCAGUGCUCUGAAUGUCAAAGUGAAGAGAUUCAAUCAAGCGCGGGUAAACAGCGGGAGUAACUAUGACUCUCUUAAGGUAGCCAAAUGCCUCGUCAUCUAAUUAGUGACGCGCAUGAAUGGAUUAACGAGAUUCCUACUGUCCCUAUCUGCUUCUAGCGAAACCACAGCCGAGGGAACGGGCUCGGCGAAAUCGGCGGGGAAAGAAGACCCUGUUGAGCUUGACUCUAUUCUAAUUUUGUCAAGCAAGUUGGGAGGUGUAGCAUAGGAGGGAGCAUUCCGUUGAAUGCGUCCGUGAAAUACCUCUACUCCCAGUCUUGCUUUACUUACUGGGUUGGUGUGGAUUGGAUUGACAAAAUCCUGUUUUGGAACCAACACAUGUUUGCCCGAGUGCAACUGUGGACCACAGCCCAGUACACAUUUAGGAGGGGAGUUUGGCUGGGGCGGCACAUCUUCUACAAGACAACGAAGGUGUCCAAAGAUGAGCUCAGUGUGAACAGAAAUCACACGUAGCGCAAAAGGGUAAAAGCUUGUUUGAUUUUGAUUUUCAGUGCGAGUCGAAAACACGAAAGUGUGGCCUAUCGAUCCUUUCACGAUUCGAGAUUUGAAGCGAGAGGUGUCAGAAAAGUUACCACAGGGAUAACUGGCUUGUGGCGGCCAAGCGUUCAUAGCGACGUCGCUUUUUGAUCCU